GUUCCUGGCUCAGGAUGAACGCUAGCGGCAGGCUUAACACAUGCAAGUCGAGGGGCAGCGGGGUGUAGCAAUACACUGCCGGCGACCGGCGCACGGGUGCGUAACGCGUAUGCAACCUACCCAUAACAGGGGCAUAACACUGGGAAAUUGGUACUAAUUCCCCAUAACAUUCGAAGAGGCAUCUCUUUGGGUUGAAAACUCCGGUGGUUAUGGAUGGGCAUGCGUUGUAUUAGCUAGUUGGUGAGGUAACGG
rnacentral:rRNA from 1 species